ensembl:lncRNA novel transcript
GCAGUACCAGCAGAUGGGGAGCUUAAGAAGGAAGCUAGUUCAUGGCACAGCACCCGUAAAGUCCCCAGAAUUGGAGGCACCAGAUUCUUCUGAAAGAAAAGGAGCAAUUCAGCACUUGUCAUGCAGAUAAGAGGUCAACACCCCAGGACGGAGUGAAAACCUAAGGGUCAUCAAGACAGGAGGAUAUGAGGCAGAAUCACCACACAAGGGCACGGUGGCUCACACCUGUAAUCCCAGCAUUUUGGAAGGUGGAGGUGGGCGGAUCACCUGAGGUCGGGAGUUCGAGACCAGCCUGACCAACAUGGAGAAACCCCGUCUCUAUUAAAACAUACAAAAAUUAGCUGGGUGCGGUGGCAGGCGCCUGUAAUCCCAGCUACUUGGGAGGCUGAGGCAGGAGAAUCGCUUGAACCUGGGAGGCGGAGGUUGCAGUGAGCUGAGAUCGCGCCAUUGCACUCUAGCCUGGGCAACAAGAGUGAAACUCCGUCUCAAAAAAAAAGAAAAAAAUCUUUUUCUUUGUCACCUAUGCAAUGUUUGACCUGCAAGUGCUUGUAUCUUUUGUAAUUGUUUAAAUCCCUCAAAAUUUUAAAUGAGUAUUGAAUAUAUUUUGUGUUUUUCCAAAUAUAAGAUUCUAUAAAGAAGAGAAUGAUCUAACCUGAUGUACAUAUGACAUUAAUCCAAUAGACUUAGGAAUAAGAUACAGGGGGUUUUCCUGAAUGAUUCGAGUAUAUCCCCAUUCAUAUUAAGAAAACAAAGUAUUGGCCAAGCGUGGUGGCUCACGCCUGUAAUCCCGGCACUUUGGAAGGCCGAGGCCAGUGGAUCACCUGAGAUGGACUCAACGACUCUCUUACCGUCCAGCUCUCAAGUCCCUUCUCUUGUGAAAAUGGAAAAGUUGAACUACAGUUGAGAUAUUAUUCCCAGGUGUUCUUUGGAACACAGGGGAUUUCUCCAAAAGGCACAGAACAAAUUGCCUCCAAACAGCCAAGAUUCCAGCAGAAGCUGGAGUAGCAGACUACUUGGAUCUUCAAAGUACCUGGCCCUGAGUCAGUUAAGGAAGAUCUUUUCUUCUCUUUUGUACAAUCCUAUGAUGAGAGCUGCAAAGUGAACUGACUAAGAGCUUCUGCCUUGAUCAUUGACCUCCCAAUCCUAAUAAUAUGUUCACUGGCCAAACUUCCUAAUCGAUUUGUCUUUUGGAUAUAACGUUCCUCCUACUGUUUGCCUGAUUGAGAAAUCUGCUACAGAACAUGACCGGUUAGCAUUCCCACCAACCCCAGUGCUACACUGACUGUCUUUCGAUGGACUUUGCUCCUUGCUGCCUCUCUGAGGUCCCAGACCUUCAGAGUGACCUUCACAGCUCUGCCUAACUUUCUGUCAUACUUCUAUCAAGAGAGACAGCUAAAUCAAUAUUUUUAAUGUGCUUUGCUGUCGGAAUUCGAUGAUCUGUCACAGUUCUUGCCCAAUACACCCCAUCAUUAUUGUUAAAAUGUUUUUAGCUUUGUUUGUAGAAUUGCUUUAACUGGUUUCAUCUCUGGGAGCUACACUUUGAAAUAUAACUUUAGCAACAUUUUACUAUACUUUUUCACAACCCAGAGCAGUACUAUUUUAUGCUUAGUGGUUAAACUAAUUCCAUAAAUCUUUUGCAACUAUCCUCUAUUCUUUUUCUUGUAAUUUUUACCUGGGAAGGUUUUUACUGAUAAUCAUCCUAUCCUGAGUCAUCCCACAAACCAAUCUGUCUCACUAAUCAUUGCUUCUAACCUACAGACUAAGCAUAACUUCUGCUAAAUGAUCUUUGAUAAGAUGCUAUGACUCUAUAAAGUCUUUGAUAUUCAUGUCUAAAUUUAAUCACUUGUAGAUUUUCAUAGAAUCAAUCUUUCACUUCUACAAUUGGGAGUAUUUAUAAGUUGUUUAUCUUAAACAGUUCCUCUAUCACGCUUUUCACGUUAAAUAAAGCAAUCCCUUCAAAUCAA